rnacentral:misc_RNA from 1 species
GAUGAAGAACGUAGCGAAAUGCGAUAAGUAGUGUGAAUUGCAGAAUUCAGUGAAUCAUCGAAUCUUUGAACGCACAUUGCGCCCCUUGGUACUCCAAGGGGCAUGCCUGUUCGAGCGUCAUUUACACCCUCAAGCUCAGCUUGGUGUUGGGCGUCUGUCCCGCUUCGUGCGCGGACUCGCCUCAAAUGCAUUGGCAGCGGUCUUGCCAGCUUCUCGCGCAGCACAUUGCGCUUCUAGAGGCUUUGGCGGAUCGGCGUCCAUCAAGUACACCCACAGUUUGACCUCGGAUCAGGUAGGGAUACCCGCUGAACUUAAGCAUAUCAAUAAGCGGAGGA